UAACCGACACGUGCAGAUGUGUUUCGUCUAAAAUAAAUUUUUCUUUCUCCCGCGCGUUCCGUUGUAUAUACGGACUAUUAAGAACUUACACUCAUUUCAACCUCUUAAAGAAGAUAAUCUGGCAGCCUAAUCAGCACUCAGUAAAACUGCUGAUUUUUGCUAAAAAGGAAGAAGAAGAAGUCUUUUCCUUCUUCUUCACUGACGACGUACGUGUAACGUGUAACGUGUAAUUCUUUGCUACGUCUGUGAUACGAUUGUGAUUAUAAUCGCAGGAAAGACACACAUACACAACUGGAAUAUUGCGUAUAGCAAGCGUUCGCACAAAAAGAACAUUAUUAUCAACUUCAUGAUCUAAUAGUUUCUGUGAAGUAAGAAAAUUGUAUACAUAUAUAUAUAUACAUAUAUAGAUGGGAUAUAUGCAAUAUAUGUAUAUUUAAAACGAGGAAAUAUAAAAACAAGGUGAUAUAAACUGCGGACUCAACAAAUCACAACAAAAAGUAAG